rnacentral:rRNA from 1 species
AGAGUUUGAUCCUGGCUCAGGAUGAACGCUGGCGGCGUGCUUAACACAUGCAAGUCGAACGGAGUUUUUAAACGGAAGUUUUCGGAUGGAAGUUUAGGAACUUAGUGGCGGACGGGUGAGUAACGCGUGGGUAACCUGCCUCAUACAGGGGGAUAACAGUUAGAAAUGACUGCUAACACCGCAUAAUAUAGCGAAACCGCAUGAUUUUUGCUAUCAAAUAUUUAUAGGUAUGAGAUGGGCCCGCGUCUGAUUAGCUAGUUGGUGGGGUAAAAGCCUACCAAGGCGACGAUCAGUAGCCGGCUUGAGAGAGUGACCGGCCACAUUGGGACUGAGACACGGCCCAAACUCCUACGGGAGGCAGCAGUGGGGAAUAUUGGACAAUGGGGGGAACCCUGAUCCAGCGACGCCCGCGUGAGUGAAGAAGUAUUUCGGUAUGUAAAGCUCUAUCAGCAGGGAAGAUAAUGACAGUACCCUGACUAAGAAGCCCCGGCUAACUACGUGCCAGCAGCAGC